AGUGAACGCUGGCGGUAGGCCUAACACAUGCAAGUCGAACGGCAGCACAGUAAGAGCUUGCUCUUACGGGUGGCGAGUGGCGGACGGGUGAGGAAUACAUCGGAAUCUACUUUUUCGUGGGGGAUAACGUAGGGAAACUUACGCUAAUACUGCAUACGACCUACGGGUGAAAGCAGGGGAUCUUCGGACCUUGCGCGAUUGAAUGAGCCGAUGUCGGAUUAGCUAGUUGGCGGGGUAAAGGCCCACCAAGGCGACGAUCCGUAGCUGGUCUGAGAGGAUGAUCAGCCACACUGGAACUGAGACACGGUCCAGACUCCUACGGGAGGCAGCAGUGGGGAAUAUUGGACAGUGGGCGCAAGCCUGAUCCAGCCAUACCGCGUGGGUGAAGAAGGCCUUCGGGUUGUAAAGCCCUUUUGUUGGGAAAGAAAAGCAGCAGGUUAAUACCCCGCUGUUCUGACGGUACCCAAAGAAUAAGCACCGGCUAACUUCGUG
rnacentral:rRNA from 1 species